rnacentral:misc_RNA from 1 species
GAUGAAGAACGUAGCGAAAUGCGAUAAGUAAUGUGAAUUGCAGAAUUCAGUGAAUCAUCGAAUCUUUGAACGCACAUUGCGCUCGCCAGUAUUCUGGCGAGCAUGCCUGUUCGAGCGUCAUUUCAACCAUCAAGCUCUGCUUGCGUUGGGGAUCCGCGUCUGACGCGGUCCCUCAAAAACAGUGGCGGGCUCGCUAGUCACACCGAGCGUAGUAACUCUACAUCGCUAUGGUCGUGCGGCGGGUUCUUGCCGUAAAACCCCCAAUUUCUAAGGUUGACCUCGGAUCAGGUAGGAAUACCCGCUGAACUUAAGCAUAUCAAUAAGCGGAGGA